GGUCGGUUUUGUUAAGGACAACGGCAUGCGUUUAGUUUAGAGUGUUAGAUUCGGCACAACACACCGCUUAUAUGCUUAAGACCUCUAGUUAUGGUGACAUUUACGUGUAGGACAAAGGCAAUGAUUUAAAGCUGAACCAUACACUUUAUGUUCUGAGUGAGUGUGAGUGAGGACGUAAAGUCAAGAGAAAGCUGUUGUGAGGCAUUUCUAAUUGAGACAUAGGGGGUCUCCUGGCACACAGCAGCAACCUAAAGCAGGUGGGAGAACACACAGCAGAAGUCUGCCUGUCUCCACGAUGCAGUGAGUGUCGAUCACUGUUGGAGAAGAAACAUGAAAACAGCGUGUCAGAUGGAGGACAUUUUCUGACAGCACAACUGCAAAGAACUCAUGUAAAUACAUGGUCUGCUGUUUGGUUUUCAUACAUGCUUUUCAGUUCCAGGUGGACCUCAUUUAUUACCUUGAAAAUCUGUUUUAAAUGUUCAAAGACA